AGGGUGUAAACGCUGCAGACUUGGUGUUGGAGGCCCUUUGGGGGGCAUUCAGUGCCGGAGAGAAGUUGUUAAGUCUGCUACUUGGGGAGUACGUCCGCAAGGAUGAAACUUAAAGGAAUUGGCGGGGGAGGCACCGCAACGGGAGGAGCGUGCGGUUUAAUUGGAUUCAACACCGUAAACUCACCAGGGAAGACUGUUACAUGAAGGCCGAGAUGAAGACUCUGCUAGAUUUUCAGAGAGGUGGUGCAUGGCGUCAGUGACU
rnacentral:rRNA from 1 species